AGGAGCCUCAGGACAGGAGCUGUCUGCUCUAGUGGAGGAUCCACACUGGACACUGGACACUGUCAGGUUGGAGCCCAGUGGAGUCCGAUGGUUGAGACCAGGUCUGAGGAAGUGUACGUGGAUUUACAUUGGAUUAAAUAUUAAAGACUGCCCACUGUGACGACCUGCCCACCUACUGUUAGUGAAGGUCAACAGGAAAUUUCUGUGAACUCACCCUGGAUCCAAACACAGCGAACAGAGAACUGAAACUGUCUG